rnacentral:tRNA from 1 species
CCGGAUAUCGUCUAGUUUGGUAAGGCGCCUGCUUUGGGAGCAGGAUAUCGGGAGUUCAAAUCUCUCUAUCCGGAC